rnacentral:rRNA from 1 species
CAAUAGCGUAUAUUAAAGUUGUUGCGGUUAAAACGCUCGUAGUUGGAUUUCUGCUGAGGACGAUCGGUCCGCCCUCUGGGUGAGCAUUGACUCGGCCUUGGCAUCUUCUUGGAGAACGCUACUGCACUUGACUGUGUGGUGCGGUAUCCAGGACUUUUACUUUGAGGAAAUUAGAGUGUUUCAAGCAGGCGCACGCCUUGAAUACAUUAGCAUGGAAUAAUAGGAUAGGACAUUGGUUCUAUUUUUUCGGUUUCUUAGAGCUGAGGUAAUGAUUAACAGGGAUAGUUGGGGCAGUUCGUAUUUAACUGUUCAGAGGUGAAAUUCUUGGAUUUGUUAAAGUACGAAACUACUGCGAAAGCAAUUUGCCUAA